rnacentral:rRNA from 1 species
GGGUGCGAUCAUACCAGCACUAAUGCACCGGAUCCCAUCAGAACUCCGCAGUUAAGCGCGCUUGGGCUAGAGCAGUACUAGGAUGGGUGACCCCCUGGGAAGUCCUCGUGUUGCACCCCU